GGUAGUUUGCGGCUCCUUUAUAACAGCUGCUGUGUGAGACACUCUACUAGGGAGUAGAUUAGCCGAGCCUGUGGUGACAGUUGGGGGAAAGAAAAAGAUCCGUUCCAAAUUGGUAAUCAGAUUUGAAGAUACUGACUGGAAACAGAAAGAAACCAUGAAGACCAACAAAACAGGGGGCACCCAAUGGAAAACGAUACCCCAAAUCAGCAGUAAGCAGUUUUGUGAGAGUGAUGCCCUUGUUCCCAAGAGAUGAUGAGCACUGAAGAAUCUCAUGUAGUUUGCUUCGUAUGUAGCAAGCUAGCCACUGGACAAGAAACUGCCCUUGCUUCAAUUGCUGACAGAAUGCUGUCCAAAAUGGACAAAUGGAUGCAGAGAAGUCAGCUGCUCAGCUUUGCCAAGAUAGGGUAAGCAGUCCUUCAUAAUUCCUGCUUCACCCAAAUGUCUGUCAGACAUUCUGGGCCAGAAGGCUGAAGAUGAUGCUCCAAUGACAGGGAAAUUGCGGGGGACUCUCUAGGCAUCCAGCUGUCUCUGCUGUUUCUAUAGUUUUAGAAGUGACUUGCCUGUACCUCCUGCAUACUCAGGUAAUAUUAACUUUGAUGGAGUUGAAGAUGGAUAGUUAUAGUCUCACAGUUAAGCUUUUUUACCCUGUUUGCUUUGUUAACAAAAUAUACAAAAGAUCUAGUCAUGAGAUAACAACAUAUCAAAAUAAAUUCACCAGCUUUUCAGUAGAUAGCUGAAAAUAUAGUUCCUAUUUUUGUACAAGUUUUUAUAUAGACUUUAUUAAUGCUUGAGGUUUUAAAAGGCUUCUUUCACCUUUUUCCUCUCUUUGGUCUCAUAUGAAUCUAAGAAUAACAAAAGAUUAGGAUUUGUUUAGGAUUUAGGAAAAUGUUCUUAAGGUCUAAGAUGUUUUUAGAUUGGUAAUAUACGUUAUGAUAGAAAUUGAUUUAAGUACAGAACUCUGAACUCACCAAGAUGAUCUAGAUAAUAGAAUACUUUCUCCAAGGUCGCCAAAUACAUAUGAACUGGACACUGGGAAUGUAGAUCUUACUUGAUAGUUUACAUAGUUAUUAUUGUAUAUAGUCUAUUAUUAUAAGAGAAUUUAUUAGACUAAAGGGGGAAAAUAUAGAGAUAGUUUCUUGUAUACUAUGUAAAAGCAUUCACCUGUCAAUUAAAAGAUAUUGGCCAAUGAGCUGAGGCAGGAUUAGAAGGAGAGAGAGAGAGAGAGAGAGAGAGAGAGAGAGAGAGAGAGAGAGAGAGAUUGAGAGAUUGAGGAAUUCUGGGUUUGAGUCAGGCUGGAGAGAUUCACCUGGACACAGAGAAAGAUGGCUGCAUGAAAGUGAAGACCAGGUAGCCAGGCACAUAGCAAGACUAUGUAGACACUUAGACUAGAAUAAACCAGAUAAUUGAGUUUAUGAGCUAGCCAGGGAACAGGCCCAAGCUUAUGGCCUGUGCAUUUAUUCAUAAGUAUAAUUAAGUCUCCGAGUUGUUAUUUCAGGGAACUUAUGUGCAAGUAGGAAAGCCUGUAGUUACAAAUGGCACCCAUGAGGGGGCAUUGAAUCAAGGCCGAGCCUGAAAGUUCCUGGUGGAAGGCGUGAACAAGCAUGCCCUGGAAACAAAGCAGGCUCCUAGGUAGAUAUGGGGAACUGAAGGCAGCUCUCUGAUGUGAGCCUCGGCUAGCAGUGGGAGCCUGGCUAGGUAGUUGGGUCCAAAAUCCAACAGUGAGUGCUUCCAGGCAGAGAGCCUUCCCCCAAGCGUUACAGCUCAGUAAAUGCAGCCAGACCCAGAUGAUCCUUGCUGAAAUAGCUUGUGUGCUUUAUUCUAGGUCAACAGGGACUAGCUGAGCCUCAGGGAGUGGGGUGGGAUUCUGUGGAUAAGUGCAUUCUAUUGGCUGAGACUGUGACACUCACGGUGCUCUAUUUGCUUGGGGAAGAAUUCCAGGCGCUGUGCUAUAUGACUGACGCUUGUGAUCACCUAGUUGGAGGUAGUGGUUACAGCCUCGAAGCAGGCCCGGGGACAAGGAGGAAGUUAGCUGAGCUCUCCAGGGUCUGAGCAGGCUCCACCUCACAAUCCCAUUCCCAUUCCUCUGAUGGAUGCCCGUGUGCCCUACAGAUGGGCUCAGGAAGUGUGGAGUGAGGUGGCUGGAGGUGAGACUAGUAGUAGAGAGCCAGAAGAACCGCAACCCCAAAAAUCAGCACAGUUACCAUUUGCUAUGAAGGUUGCUGCAUGGAGACAGUAUUUCUUUUAUAGAGAGCUGCUUUAAAGCAAGAAUGUUAAAGUAGCAGUAAACCAUAUUGGAGGCCUGAGUGUAUAUGUCCUUAGGUGUGGCUCACACCUCUCCACGUAGUUCCUGGGUCUCAGAAAUACAACUUCUGUUUUGUAUUGUUAGCUUUUGUUUCUAGUAAAGAUAUCCUAACUUCCUGUAUCUCUGUGAUCUGGGGUUUGCCUUAUCAACUGUAGUCUUGCCAUGGAUACAGUGGUCACCAUCCUGUGACCUCAUUUAAGUUGCUUAGCAACCUCUCAAGUGAAGAAUCUCAUAAACUCUUCAUAUGGCUAUUGUUAAGAUAAAUGAAAUGAAUAAACUCUUGUUUAAGAAGCUCACUGUGGGGCUGGCAAGAUGGCUCAGUGGUUAAGAGCACCGACUGCUCUUCCGAAGGUCCUGAGUUCAAAUCCCAG